rnacentral:sRNA from 1 species
UGUAUAUAUCCGAGGUGGUGGGUAUCUAAAGUUGAGCCAAUAUUACUUUACCAUAGUGAUUCUAUUUAAAAUUAGAUGCAAGAAAUAAUAUGGUCGUAAGCUGGACAAUUUCUGAUUGAAAUCAUAAAACGAUUUCGUGGCCAUGUAGAAGAAGCUUAAAACAUUUACUUUAAAUUCAGAGUUAAUUCUUUUUCAAAACAGGAUGCCCGUCCAACUCUUUCGAAAUAGUCGGAACCUUUUUUUAUGUUUAAAUUUGGUUUGUUCUUAAAUUUUAAGAAUUGUCAUUUUUGUUAAGUCCGCUUUUCACGUAGUCAAUUUUUAAAUGCAUUUCGGUGGAAAAACAAAAUCUUACUUUUCCGUUGACUCAAUUUCCCGCGAAGAGCAACUUUAACGAUGUCGUUGACAAAGCUAAGGUUCCAGAGAUUGCCCUUUUGUGGUUGCUUUAUCAAAUAUGUUUGUUGAUGACUUUUUUGUUCGUGAUUUCAAUUUUUUGCUAAGCUGUUAAGGUGGUUGUCACUGUAGUUAAUCCUCUUGCUGCUGCAGACAUUUUUUCUAUAUAUGCUACAAACAACACAAAUCAAGGAGCAAAACUUAAGGAUUACGGUAGGGUGAAUAAAAUUUGGUAUUUUUGUUUAAUUGCUUAUAUCAUCAAAGCUUACACCAUAACAUUUAAAACAUAAAUUGUGGAUAUAUGUGAAAUAUUUGUUUUGGAUUUUAAAUAUUAUUGACUUUUUUUCUUUUACUUUUAAAUUUUUGUUUCUCUUUUAUUCUUAAUUUUUUAAGUAGAAAACUAUUUACACUUGACUUCAAUUUUCACUUCAAUUCAAUUUUCUUUGGUUUAAUAUAUUCUUUUAUUUAAAUUCAGCACAACUUAAAGCGAUUCUUAGAAAUUAUUAUUCCUCAGAUUAUUAAUGCUCUAACCACCGUCGAGUAACGCGGUUCGUAACGAACUAAAUGCGAAUUUGCCAAAUGCUCAUCUUUUAACACAACACACACCAUGGCAAAUAAAAGGAAACAAGCAACGAGAAAGGACUACCAGAUAAAAACAAAAACACAAACAUACGACAAAUGGUAUUCUAAGGACAGCGAGAGCAGGAUACUCUAGGUAACAAACACAUGCAUUACAGCACUCAUUUAAGGAGAGAGCCAAAAAGAGAAUAAAUUAAAGCAAAACAAACCAAAAGGACUUUAUAUUACAUUAAAGAGAAAUGUAAAUGUCAUGGCUAAGGUUGCCAUGUAGAAAUAGAAAAUAAAAAGACUAAUAUGAAGAAGCAAGUAUACAUUUCAUUGUAUACUUUCCAAAUAAGUUUUAAAUUAAAA